GUGCGGCCCUCAAAAGACAAAAAAAAAAAUAAUUAAAUGAAGGGGAAAAAUACAGGGUUGUCAGUUUGGUGGGGUCUUUUAGAAGAGUAGAAUGUCUUCAGCGGUAUGUGUCCUUUUCAUUCACGUUUUUGUACCCUGACAUAAAUAUGAUGAUAAAAGAACAUUCUUGUAUCAAAA